UACGUAGGGUGCGAGCGUUAAUCGGAAUUACUGGGCGUAAAGCGUGCGCAGGCGGUUUUGUAAGCCAGAUGUGAAAUCCCCGGGCUUAACCUGGGAAUGGCAUCUGGGACUGCAAGGCUGGAGUUUGGCAGAGGAGACUGGAAUUCCUGGUGUAGCAGUGAAAUGCGUAGAUAUCAUUUGGAACGCCAAUGGUGAAAACAGGUAGCUGGGGUUGUCCUGACGCUGAGACACGAAAGCCAGGGGAGCAAACGGG
rnacentral:rRNA from 1 species